CACAUUUUAAUUCAUUCAUUACUUUCCUCUUAAGAACCCUAAGGAAGCCACCAUUGGAGAAAAGCUUGACUAGUAGCUUUGACUUCAUUUUUUGUGCCCUUUCACUCACCUUAGAACUUUGAAUUUGGAAUACUCUUUGUUCCUCUUAUCCUCCUUUUCAAAACCCUUGAAGGAUCUAGCCUAACUCCUAGUUUUGCUUUGGUAUCUAGAGAUUCAAUUCUCUAGUGAGGUACAGGACUCAGGAUUUGAAGAUUCCAUUGCUCCUUGGAUGGCUUACAGUUUCUAAGUUCUAUUUUAUGCAAGUGUUAGCAUAAGAUGCCUCUUUAUAGCCCUAUCUGUUUAAACUUGUAUUCGUUGAUUCGUAUAUGUAAAGUGUACGUAAGUGCACUCUUUUCAAUGUA